rnacentral:rRNA from 1 species
UGGGGAAUAUUGCACAAUGGGCGCAAGCCUGAUGCAGCAACGCCGCGUGAGGGACGACGGCCUUCGGGUUGUAAACCUCUUUUAGUAGGGAAGAAGCGAAAGUGACGGUACCUGCAGAAAAAGCACCGGCUAACUACGUGCCAGCAGCCGCGGUAAUACGUAGGGUGCGAGCGUUGUCCGGAAUUAUUGGGCGUAAAGAGCUCGUAGGCGGUCUGUCGCGUCUGCUGUGAAAACCCGAGGCUCAACCUCGGGCCUGCAGUGGGUACGGGUAGACUAGAGUGCGGUAGGGGAGAAUGGAAUUCCUGGUGUAGCGGUGGAAUGCGCAGAUAUCAGGAGGAACACCGAUGGCGAAGGCAGUUCUCUGGGCCGUAACUGACGCUGAGGAGCGAAAGCGUGGGGAGCGAACAGGAUUAGAUACCCUGGUAGUCCACGCCGUAAACGUUGGGCGCUAGAUGUGGGGACCAUUCCACGGUUUCCGUGUCGCAGCUAACGCAUUAAGCGCCCCG